GAUGAACGCUAGCGGGAGGCCUAACACAUGCAAGCCGAGCGGUAUUGUUUCUUCGGAAAUGAGAGAGCGGCGUACGGUGCGGAACACGUGUGUAACCUGCCUUUAUCUGGGGGAUAGCCUUUCGAAAGGAAGAUUAAUACUCCAUAAUAUAUUGAACGGCAUCGUUUAAUAUUGAAAGCUCCGGCGGAUAGAGAUGGGCACGCGCAAGAUUAGCUAGUUGGUGAGGUAACGGCUCACCAAGGCGAUGAUCUUUAGGGGCCUGAGAGGUGAUCCCCCACACUGGUACUGAGACACGGACCAGACUCCUACGGGAGGCAGCAGUGAGGAAUAUUGGUCAAUGGGUGCAAGCCUGAACCAGCCAUCCCGCGUGAAGGACGACUGCCCUAUGGGUUGUAAACUUCUUUUGUAUAGGGAUAAACCUACCCUCGUGAGGGUAGCUGAAGGUACUAUACGAAUAAGCACCGGCUAACUCCGUGCCAGCAGCCGCGGUAAU
rnacentral:rRNA from 1 species